rnacentral:rRNA from 1 species
UGGGGAAUUUUGGACAAUGGGCGAAAGCCUGAUCCAGCAAUGCCGCGUGUGUGAAGAAGGCCUUCGGGUUGUAAAGCACUUUUGUCCGGAAAGAAAUCCUUGGCUCUAAUACAGUCGGGGGAUGACGGUACCGGAAGAAUAAGCACCGGCUAACUACGUGCCAGCAGCCGCGGUAAUACGUAGGGUGCGAGCGUUAAUCGGAAUUACUGGGCGUAAAGCGUGCGCAGGCGGUUUGCUAAGACCGAUGUGAAAUCCCCGGGCUCAACCUGGGAACUGCAUUGGUGACUGGCAGGCUAGAGUAUGGCAGAGGGGGGUAGAAUUCCACGUGUAGCAGUGAAAUGCGUAGAGAUGUGGAGGAAUACCGAUGGCGAAGGCAGCCCCCUGGGCCAAAUACUGACGCUCAUGCACGAAAGCGUGGGGGAGCAAACAGGAUUAGAUACCCUGGUAGUCCACGCCCUAAACGAUGUCAACUAGUUGUUGGGGAUUCAUUUCCUUAGUAACGUAGCUAACGCGUGAAGUUGACCGCCUGGGGAGUACGGUCGCAAGAUUAAAACUCAAAUGAAUUGACGGGGUCAUAGCUGUUUCCU